rnacentral:lncRNA from 1 species
GCUAGCUUAUAUAAAGAAGUCGAAACCACCACUUUCUCUAGUAAAGAUGCAGCAAGCAGGCUCCUCCAACCCUCGAUCUCAACAGCAUGCUAGAUCCAUUCCUCAAUAAAUUCAGAACAACCGUACUGUCUAUCAAAUUUGUGGUAAAUCUGGGCAUACUGCUAUUGAUUAUUUUCACCGUUUUCACUACUCCUAUCAAGUCAGAUAUCCUCAUCGGGAUUUGGCAGCUAUGGUCACUGAGAGCAAUGCCACAUAUGAUCAUCAAGUUUGGUAUAUGGACAGCGAGGCCAAUGCACAUAUAACAUCAGAUGCAGUUAAUCUCACCAAUUCGCAGCCCCUUCGUGAAGCAGAAUCUAUUAUCGUCGGCAAUGGUUCAGGUUUGCAAGUUCUCCAUGGUGGUUCCUCAUCCUUUAGAUUAGGUCACUUCAAAUUUCAUUUAAACAAAAUUCUUCACUGUCCACAAGCAGCCACAAAUCUUAUUGUUUUCAAUUAGUUUUGCUUAGAUGAUAAUUGUUACUUUAUACUAACUGCUAGUGACUUUAUUGUGAAGGAGAACUUGACAGGCAAAAUUCUACUUCGAGGUGCGGUUGAAAAUGGCCUAUAUCCAAUAGCUAGGUGCAAGACAUCUCUAAGAGCCUCAUGUGUCAUUCUGCAAACAUAGGGGUUCAAGCUAAUACAGAAACCUGGCACUCUAGACUAGGCCAUCCUUCUAGUGUUGUUUUAGAUGUUUUAUUUCGUUCCAAUAAACUCUCUGUCAAAGGCCAUGCAAACAAAAUUGAUUUUUGCUCAGCUUGUCAACUCGGCAAAGCCAAGCAACUCCCCUUUUCAGAGUCUAGUAGUUAGUCUAGCUUUAGUCCACUCGGAUGUAUGGGUUUCUCCUGUAAAAUCGAUUGGUGGAUGUAAGUACUACGUUUUAUUUGUUGAUGAUUAUUCAUGGUUUGAUCCUUUACAACAAAAAAUCUGAUGUGUUUGCCACUUUUGUCAAGUUUAAAACAAUUGCGGAAAAAAUUUUCUCCACCUUAAUUAAACAAAUACAAACAGAUAAUGGUGGCGAAUUUACCUCAAACCAAUUAAAUUUUUUUUUGGUAACAUAAGGGAUCCACCAUUGUUUAACUUGUCC